GCCAGCCUCAGCAAAAACGAGGUCCUAAGCAACUCAAUAUGACUCUGUCUCUGAAUAAAAUCCAAAAUAGGUCUGGGAAUAUGGCUUAGUGGUCAAGUGCCCCUGAGUUCAAUCCUUGGUAAUACCCUUCCCCCCCAAAAAAAAAUCUGAGAUAAUAAACUCGAAAAGUAGAAGGUUUAUUUUGGUUCAGUUUUGGAGGUUGUAGUCCACGGUUUGUUGGCCCCAUUGCUUUUAGGCCUGUGGCAAGGCUGUCCAUCAUAGAAGGGAGCACGUAGCAGAGGAAGGCCGAAGGCCCUUUGCUUUGUAAAGAUCAAAGAAAGAGAAAAACAAAGGGGUGGGAUCCCACUAUCCCCAGUGACCUAAAAGUUCCCAUAGACCCCACCUCUUAGAGGUUCCACUACCUCCCAGUAGUGCCAAGUUUAGGACCAAGUUUUAAUACAUGGACCUUUGGAAGACAAUUUCAAGCUGUUGUGCCCUUCAAAUAGAGAUGGUGAUUACAGACAUCAAUGCAAGACUCUUAGUAAAUAAACAUUGAAUCUUGCUUGGUUUUAGGAAAAGAUUUCUAGUUCUGGCUCUGUUAUAGAAUGAUCAUCCAGUCACCCAUUGUGGUACAAAGUUAUAGAGUCUGAAUGCUAUGGUUACUGAUUGAAAGAUAUCUAACUAUAAGACUCAAAUCAUUGCUAUUACAUAAAAGGCAGGGUGUCAGUGUAAUAGAAGUUCUCACUGGGUUUGCCACAUUUGUUCUACUAACCACAAAGGGAAAGAGAUGUUUCUCUCAAAUGGGAAACCUAGACUGAGUGGCUCAGUGGUAGAGUGCUUGCCUCAUAUGUGUGAGGCACUGGGCUCAAUUCUCAGCACCAUAUAUAAAUAAAUUAAUAAAAUAGAGGUCCAUCAACAC
rnacentral:lncRNA from 1 species